GACGAACGCUGGCGGCGUGCUUAACACAUGCAAGUCGAACGGAAAGGCCCUGCUUUUGUGGGGUGCUCGAGUGGCGAACGGGUGAGUAACACGUGAGUAACCUGCCCUUGACUUUGGGAUAACUUCUCGAAACUGCGGCUAAUACAGGAUAGGAGAUCCUGCUGCAUGUGGGGGGUUGGAAAGUUUCGGCGGUUGGGGCUGGUCUCGCGGGUUAUCAGCUUGUUGGUGGGGUAGUGGCUUACCAAGGCUUUGAAGGGUAGCCGGCCUGGGAGGUUGACCGGCUACAUGGGGCCUGCGGUACGGCGCAGACUCCUACGGGAGGCAGCGGUGGGGAAUAUUGCACAAUGGGCCGAAGCCUGAUGCGGCAGCGCCGCGUGCGGGAUGACGGCCUUCGGGUUGUAAACCGCUUUCGCCGGUGCCGAAGCGAGAGUGACGGUAAUGGGUAAAGAAGCACCGGCUAACUACGUG
rnacentral:rRNA from 1 species